UCGAACGAGAAGUACGUAGCAAUACGUAUUGUAAAGUGGCGCACGGGUGAGUAACACGUGGGUAAUCUGCCCUUGAGUUUGGGAUAACCCCGCGAAAGCGGGGCUAAUACCGAAUAAGACCACGGGGACCAAAGUCCCUGAGGUAAAAGAUGGCCUCUAUUUAUAAGCUAUCACUUGAGGAUGAGCCCGCGGCCCAUUAGCUAGUUGGUAGGGUAACGGCCUACCAAGGCUAUGAUGGGUAGCUGGUCUGAGAGGACGAUCAGCCACACUGGAACUGAGACACGGUCCAGACUCCUACGGGAGGCAGCAGUGGGGAAUAUUGCGCAAUGGGCGAAAGCCUGACGCAGCAACGCCGUGUGGGGGAUGAAGGUUUUCGGAUUGUAAACCCCUUUCGACCGGAACGAAUCUCCUCUUGGUAAAUAAUCAGGAGGAUCGACGGUACCGGGAGAAGAAGCCACGGCUAACUCUGUGCCAGCAGCCGCGGUAAGACAGAGGUGGCGAGCGUUGUUCGGAUUUAUUGGGCGUAAAGCGAACGCAGGUGGUUUGGUAAGUCAGGGGUGAAAGCCCACAGCUUAACUGUGGCACUGCCUUUGAUACUGCCUUUCUUGAGUGCAUGAGGGGGAAGCGGAAUUCCGAGUGUAGAGGUGAAAUUCGUAGAUAUUCGGAGGAACACCGGUGGCGAAGGCGGCUUCCUGGCAUGUAACUGACACUCAUGUUCGAAAGCGUGGGUAGCAAACAGGAUUAGAUACCCUGGUAGUCCACGCCCUAAACGAUGGGCACUAGUUGUGGGGGGUAUCGACCCCUUCCGUGCCGCAGCUAACG
rnacentral:rRNA from 1 species